rnacentral:rRNA from 1 species
UAGUGGCAAACGGGUGAGUAACACGUGAGUAACCUGCCCUUAACUCUGGGAUAAGCCUGGGAAACUGGGUCUAAUACCGGAUAGGAGCGUCCACCGCAUGGUGGGUGUUGGAAAGAUUUAUCGGUUUUGGAUGGACUCGCGGCCUAUCAGCUUGUUGGUGAGGUAAUGGCUCACCAAGGCGACGACGGGUAGCCGGCCUGAGAGGGUGACCGGCCACACUGGGACUGAGACACGGCCCAGACUCCUACGGGAGGCAGCAGUGGGGAAUAUUGCACAAUGGGCGCAAGCCUGAUGCAGCGACGCCGCGUGAGGGAUGACGGCCUUCGGGUUGUAAACCUCUUUCAGUAGGGAAGAAGCGAAAGUGACGGUACCUGCAGAAGAAGCACCGGCUACUACGUGCCAGC